UACGUAGGGGGCGAGCGUUUGUCCGGAUUUAUUGGGCGUAAAGAGCUCGUAGGCGGUUUGGUAAGUCGGGUGUGAAAUCUCCACGCUCAACGUGGAGGGGCCACUCGAUACUGCCAUGACUCGAGUCCGGUAGAGGAGUGUGGAAUUCCCGGUGUAGCGGUGAAAUGCGCAGAUAUCGGGAGGAACACCGGUGGCGAAGGCGGUUCUCUGGGCCUUACCUGACGCUGAGGAGCGAAAGCGUGGGGAGCGAACAGG
rnacentral:rRNA from 1 species